rnacentral:rRNA from 1 species
UCGAGCGAAUGACGAGGAGCUUGCUCCUCUGAUUUAGCGGCGGACGGGUGAGUAACACGUGGGUAAUCUGCCUGUAAGACGGGGAUAACUCCGGGAAACCGGGGCUAAUACCGGAUAACAAGAGAAGAUGCAUAUCUUCUUUUUGAAAGUCGGUUUCGGCUGACACUUACAGAUGAGCCCGCGGCGCAUUAGCUAGUUGGUGAGGUAACGGCUCACCAAGGCGACGAUGCGUAGCCGACCUGAGAGGGUGAUCGGCCACACUGGGACUGAGACACGGCCCAGACUCCUACGGGAGGCAGCAGUAGGGAAUCUUCGGCAAUGGGCGAAAGCCUGACCGAGCAACGCCGCGUGAGCGAUGAAGGCCUUCGGGUCGUAAAGCUCUGUUGUUAGAGAAGAACAAGUACGAGAGUAACUGCUCGUACCUUGACGGUACCUAACCAGAAAGCCACGGCUAACUACGUGCCAGCAGCCGCGGUAAUACGUAGGUGGCAAGCGUUAUCCGGAAUUAUUGGGCGUAAAGCGCGCGCAGGCGGUCUCUUAAGUCUGAUGUGAAAGCCCACGGCUCAACCGUGGAGGGUCAUUGGAAACUGGGAGACUUGAGUGCAGGAGAGAAAAGUGGAAUUCCACGUGUAGCGGUGAAAUGCGUAGAGAUGUGGAGGAACACCAGUGGCGAAGGCGGCUUUUUGGCCUGUAACUGACGCUGAGGCGCGAAAGCGUGGGGAGCAAACAGGAUUAGAUACCCUGGUAGUCCACGCCGUAAACGAUGAGUGCUAGGUGUUGGGGGGGUUCCACCCUCAGUGCUGAAGUUAACACAUUAAGCACUCCGCCUGGGGAGUACGACCGCAAGGUUGAAACUCAAAGGAAUUGACGGGGGCCCGCACAAGCAGUGGAGCAUGUGGUUUAAUUCGAAGCAACGCGAAGAACCCUUACCAGGUCUUGACAUCCUCUGACCACUCUAGAGAUAGAGCUUUCCCCUU